GCUGGCACUAUUAUUAUCCUCAGCUUAUAUAUGAGAAAACUGAGGCACUGUUAUUCAGUAAGUUGCCCAACUUCACAUCACCAGUAAGUAGAAGAGGAGCCAAGAAUGGAAUUCAUGCUGUCUACUUCCAGAUCCUGUCAGGAUCCCUCACUCUAGGGGAAGCCAGCUGCCAUGUGGUGAGGAUGCUCAUGCAGCCCUGUGGAGGGGUCCUUGUGAUGAGUGACUGAGGCCUCCUGCCAACAGCCAUGUGAGUGAGCUGUCUUCGAAGCAGAUGCUUCAGCUUCAGUUAGACCUUCAUGUGUCUACAGCUCUGCCUGAUAACUACAAUCCUAUGAGAGACCCUGAGCCAGAGCCACACAGCUAAGCUGCUUCCAGAUUCCCUACCCUCUGAAACUGCACAACUCAUUGUCUGAGCGAAGAACAGAAGCCCUCAGGCAACCUACAUGCAGAGGCGGGCCGAAUCCAAAGCUGAACCCCAGGAGCUGUGUGAACAAAGAAGAAAAAGGGAAAUUUCUCCCAGCAGCCUCAGGAGCAGCAGAUUAAGUCUCCACAAUCAACUUGAUGUACCCUGCAUCUGAGGAAUACCUGAACAGACAACGAAUCAUCCCAAA